rnacentral:rRNA from 1 species
UACGGAGGGUGCGAGCGUUAUCCGGAUUUACUGGGCUUAAAGGGUGUGUAGGCGGGCUGGUAAGUCAGGGGUGAAAUCCCGGAGCUCAACUCCGGAACUGCCUUUGAUACUACUGGUCUUGAAUAUUGUUGAGGUGGGCGGAAUGUGUCAUGUAGCGGUGAAAUGCAUAGAUAUGACACAGAACAUCGAUUGCGAAGGCAGCUCACUGGGCAAUGAUUGACGCUGAGGCACGAAAGCGUGGGGAUCAAACAGG